AUGGAGACAUGGCAUAGAGGCAGAGAAACACACUUCAAAGACUUUUUCACUUGAAAUAACUUUGCAUCUCAUUGC
rfam:Xenopus laevis strain J chromosome 5L, whole genome shotgun sequence.